CCUACGGGAGGCAGCAGUGGGGAAUCUUGCGCAAUGGGCGAAAGCCUGACGCAGCAACGCCGCGUGCGGGAAGAAGGCUUUCGGGCUGUAAACCGCUUUCAGCAGGAACGAAAAUGACGGUACCUGCAGAAGAAGGAGCGGCCAACUAUGUGCCAGCAGCCGCGGUGAUACAUAGGCUUCAAGCGUUGUCCGGAUUUAUUGGGCGUAAAGAGUUCGUAGGCGGUCGAGUAAGUCGGGUGUGAAAAUUCUGGGCUCAACCCAGAGACGCCACCCGAUACUGCUUGACUUGAGUUCGAUAGGGGAGUGGGGAAUUCCUAGUGUAGCGGUGAAAUGCGCAGAUAUUAGGAGGAACACCGGUGGCGAAGGCGCCACUCUGGAUCGAUACUGACGCUGAGGAACGAAAGCAUGGGUAGCAAACAGGAUUGGAUACCCUGGUAGUCCAUGCCGUAAACGGUGGGCACUAGGUGUGGGUUUCUAUUAACGAAAUCCGCGCCGUCGCUAACGCAUUAAGUGCCCCGCCUGGGGAGUACGGUCGCAAGACUAAAACUUAAAUGAAUUGACCGGNUGAGAGNGCGAGACGACACGAGGAGAG
rnacentral:rRNA from 1 species